rnacentral:piRNA from 1 species
UGGGCAUGGAGAAGAUGGCCCACGAGAGAGU